rnacentral:rRNA from 1 species
AGAGUUUGAUCCUGGCUCAGAACGAACGCUGGCGGCGCGUCUUAAGCAUGCAAGUCGAACGGUAACACGGGGCAACCUGGUGACGAGUGGCGAACGGGUGAGUAACGCGUAGGUGAUCUGCCUUAUGGUUGGGGAUAUACCGUGGAAACACGGGGUAAUACCGAAUGAUGUCGUACUGCUUGGGCGGAACGAUUAAAGGGGCUACGGCCUCGCCAGAAGAUGAGCCUGCGUUUGAUUAGCUAGUUGGUGGGGUAAAGGCCUACCAAGGCAUCGAUCAAUAGCCGGCCUGAGAGGGUGGUCGGCCACACUGGGACUGAGAUACGGCCCAGACUCCUACGGGAGGCAGCAGCUAAGAAUCUUCCGCAAUGGACGAAAGUCUGACGGAGCGACGCCGCGUGGGUGAUGAAGGCGGAAACGUUGUAAAGCCCUUUUAUAGGCGAGGAAUAAGAUCCGGAGGGAAUGCCGGGUCGAUGACGGUAGCCUAUGAAUAAGCCCCGGCUAAUUACGUGCCAGCAGCCGCGGUAACACGUAUGGGGCGAGCGUUGUUCGGAAUUAUUGGGCGUAAAGGGUACGCAGGCGGUUAUAUAAGUCUGGUGUUAAAGCCCGCAGCUUAACUGCGGAACGGCAUUGGAAACUGUGUAACUAGAGUUUUGGAGGGGUAGCUGGAAUUCCAGGUGUAGGGGUGAAAUCUGUAGAUAUCUGGAAGAACAUCAAUGGCGAAGGCAAGCUACUGGCCAUGAACUGACGCUGAGGUACGAAAGUGUGGGGAGCAAACAGGAUUAGAUACCCUGGUAGUCCACACCGUAAACGAUGUGCACUAGGUGUCGGGCCGUAGGGUUCGGUACCGUAGCUAACGCGUUAAGUGCACCGCCUGGGGAGUAUGCUCGCAAGGGUGAAACUCAAAGGAAUUGACGGGGGCCCGCACAAGCGGAGGAGCAUGUGGUUUAAUUCGAUGUACGCGAGGAACCUUACCAGGGUUUGACAUAUACAGGAAUGCAUCAGAGACGGUGCCGCCUUUCGGGGCCUGUAUACAGGUGCUGCAUGGCUGUCGUCAGCUCGUGCCGUGAGGUGUUGGGUUAAGUCCCGCAACGAGCGCAACCCCCAUUGCCAGUUACCAUCAUUUAGUUGGGGACUCUGGCGAGACUGCCGGUGACAAACCGGAGGAAGGUGGGGAUGACGUCAAGUCAUCAUGGCCCUUACGUCCUGGGCUACACACGUGCUACAAUGGUCGGUACAGAGCGAUGCGAAACAGUGAUGUAUUAGCAAACCGCGUAAAGCCGACCUCAGUUCGGAUUGAAGUCUGAAACCCGACUUCAUGAAGGUGGAUUCGCUAGUAAUCGCAUAUCAGCACGAUGCGGUGAAUACGUUCCCGGGCCUUGUACACACCGCCCGUCACACCACCCGAGUUGAGAUUACCCGAAGUCAUUGGUUUAACCUGCAAAGGAGAACGGUGACGAAGGUAGGCUCGGUAAGGGGGGUGAAGUCGAAACAAGGUA